rnacentral:rRNA from 1 species
UACGGAGGGUGCGAGCGUUAAUCGGAAUUACUGGGCGUAAAGCGUGCGCAGGCGGUUUGUCAAGUCGGAUGUGAAAUCCCCGGGCUCAACCUGGGAACUGCAUCUGAUACUGGCAAGCUAGAGUAUGGUAGAGGAUGGUAGAAUUCCAGGUGUAGCGGUGAAAUGCGUAGAGAUCUGGAGGAAUACCGGUGGCGAAGGCGGCCCCCUGGACGAAGACUGACGCUCAGGUGCGAAAGCGUGGGGAGCAAACAGG